GACGAACGCUGGCGGCGUGCUUAACACAUGCAAGUCGAACGAUGAACCCGGAGCUUGCUCUGGGGGAUUAGUGGCGAACGGGUGAGUAACACGUGAGUAACCUGCCCUGGACUCUGGGAUAAGCGUUGGAAACGACGUCUAAUACCGGAUAGGACCUUGGAUCGCAUGAUCUGGGGUGGAAAGUUUUUUCGGUCUGGGAUGGACUCGCGGCCUAUCAGCUUGUUGGUGAGGUAAUGGCUCACCAAGGCGUCGACGGGUAGCCGGCCUGAGAGGGUGACCGGCCACACUGGGACUGAGACACGGCCCAGACUCCUACGGGAGGCAGCAGUGGGGAAUAUUGCACAAUGGGCGAAAGCCUGAUGCAGCAACGCCGCGUGCGGGAUGACGGCCGUCGGGUUGUAAACCGCUUUUAGUAGGGAAGAAGGGCUUCGGCUUGACGGUACCUGCAGAAAAAGGGCCGGCUAACUACGUG
rnacentral:rRNA from 1 species